rnacentral:rRNA from 1 species
CCCUACGGGGCGCAGCAGUGAGGAAUAUUGGUCAAUGGUCGGGAGACUGAACCAGCCAAGCCGCGUGAGGGAUGAAGGUACAGAGUAUCGUAAACCUCUUUUGUCAGGGAACAAAGGCGGGGACGUGUCCCCGGAUGAGUGUACCUGAAGAAAUAGCAUCGGCUAACUCCGUGCCAGCAGCCGCGGUAAUACGGAGGAUGCGAGCGUUAUCCGGAUUUAUUGGGUUUAAAGGGUGCGCAGGCGGUCUGUUAAGUCAGCGGUCAAAUCCCGGGGCUCAACCCCGGCCCGCCGUUGAAACUGGCAGC